rnacentral:rRNA from 1 species
GACGAACGCUGGCGGCGUGCUUAACACAUGCAAGUCGAACGGUAAGGCCCCAUCUUGCUGGGGUACACGAGUGGCGAACGGGUGUGUAACACGUGGGUGACCUGCCCCGCACUUCGGGAUAAGCCUGGGAAACUGGGUCUAAUACCGGAUACGACCGCACCGCGAGGGUGGGGUGGAAAGUUUUUGGGUGUGGGAUGGGCCCGCGGCCUAUCAGCUUGUUGGUGGGGUAUUGGCCUACCACGGCGGCGACGGGUAGCCGGCCUGAGAGGGUGGACGGCCACAUUGGGACGGAGACACGGCCCGGACUCCUACGGGAGGCAGCAGUGGGGAAUAUUGCACAAUGGGCGGAAGCCUAAUGCGGCGACGCCGCGUGGGGGAUGACGGCCUUCGGGUUGAAAACUCCUUUCACCAUCGACGAAGGUUGUCUGACGGUAGAUGGAGAAGAAGCACCGGCUAACUACGUG